CACACACACACACACGCACACACACACACACACACACACACACACACACACACACACACACACACACACACACACUAUUCAUUCUGAACAGUGUGUUCCCAGUGCGGCUGUAGGAGCUCCUCUCCGUCUGUAAACUCCUAUAAAUAUAAUCUUUCUGGGCGACUUCAAUAAGAACUGAUUGAUUAAUCUUCUCGUGAAGGAAAUCUGAACCUCACUCAGUUAAUUAGUGAGUUACACAGGUCAGUCUCAGCUUGUCUGGAUACCCGUCUCACACACUAAUAGAUUUUUAAAAGCAGUAUUGUCUCGUCAGAGCUCCGUCUCUUCCGGGAGAAUAACACCUGUCGAGGAACAAGAUGCCAUUAAUGAUCUAAAGUCGGUGUCGUUUGCUGUUUGCAGGUGUAGGAAACAGAGAUCCGCCUCCAUCACGUCACAGAUUAAACAUUCACAGUGGAAAACAGCUCAGCUCUGACUCAUUCAUCACGUCUCCAGCAGACUGUUAUGUCAGAGACUGGUGAGGGUUAAAGCGGCGAGCGGGGCGCUGACGUGGGAUUGGUCACAGCUGCAGACACCUGUCAGGGAUCAGGUGACCGACAGUGUUCGUUUCCUCCCCGGUGUCUCAUCUAUCGAGGCCGGAUGAACAGAGUGUCACUGAGUGUGGGAAAAAGGGGCUCGGCUGUGGAAGGGGCGUGGUCCACGUGUUUGACCUAUUGUGUCACCACACAGGUAGAUUUGGGUUUCACCUGCCGCCUCAGUGUGUGUGCUCUUUAUAUUUUAUGGUUUGAGUGUGGUCUGCCCUUGUUGUGGACACAUCAAGUUCCUCUGGAGAGAAAGGCCUGGAGGAUGAUGGGUGAACAGUGUGAUGGGAUCAGGCAUUACAGUCUGUACCUGUACCUCUUUGUUUGCUCUAUAAGCUGCCUGUAACUCAAACACCUCACCUGUUUAAAGGAAGACACACCUUCCACAGGUGAUUCCAGUUUCCCAAAGAUAUCGUCUUGCCAUUUUAAAGGCAGCAUAACCUGUGAAAUCAGAAGACGUCAAUAUCAUAUAAUUGAUAUAUUAAUAUCAAUUAUAUAUUAAUAUCAAUAUAUAUAAUAACUUCAUGUCGAACAAGUAGCUCAGAGAUGUUUUUGGGCCCAAAACCAUUUGAUGCUUACUACUAUUAACUAUCCCCAUUCAGUACAAGCUGCUCUAUCAUUCCCAGCUCUUCUACACUGAUAAUCAGCCAGUGAGGAUUAAAACUUUUUACUUUAGCCUCAGUCUUUUUUGCCAAGUUCACAAUUUCAGGGAAAACCUGGAAAUUGACUGACGACUUUUCCAGUCAUGGAAAAUGAGAGAAAAAGUCUAAUGUACUUGGAAAAUCUUUUUUUCACUUUUCAUUUUAGUUUUCUCCGAUUUAAAACCCUGAUUGAGAAGCGAGGGAGCAGCGCUGCGGGCAACAACAUAGUUUAGCCUUUAUUUACCUACGUGCUAAUUACUCGCUAAUGGCACUUUUUUACUUAGCAUCUUUAUUAGUGUUACUUCAAACCCAAUGCUGCGUUGUUCAGGUAAAACAGACCAUAAUAUGACAUGACAAGUUGUGGUUUACCUGGUUAAUGACGUCACUUCCUGUUACUAGUAAAAGGGUUAAAGUGAGAUAAAAUGAUGGACACCAGUGGCAGGAAAUAAUCUGAGCUAAUCAACUUUGAAUUGAACAUUUAGCUAAAGUUCAGUCGAGAUUUGUCAGGAGGGAAAAUUAUAGGUUCCUAUAAUACACGUCAAUAUGAUAGAUUAAUAAUGUUUUAUUUUUGUAAGUUGUUGCGAUCAAUUUUUCAUAAUUCCAUAAUUAAUGAAGCAUGUAAGAGAUGAUUUUAUAGAAAAGUAGAGCCAGUAAGGGAAACCUUGGUGUAUGGUGUGAUUCCUUUGAUGAGUUGUUCCCAACCUAAUGACUUGCAAAACAAUUAAAGAGCCAAUGUUUGAUCGAUAUCAUUAAAAUAAAAACGGCUCUACGGAGGCAUUAUCUGGUCGGAUGUGGGCCGCCAACAUUUUUGAGCUUUUGAAGUGGGUCAUGAGUUGGAAAAGGUUGGGAACCACUGAUCUAGAUCAACACUGGAAAUGUCCUGGAAAAGAGCGGGAACUCUGAUCAUGUAUCAAAAGGAGCAGUUAGAGACCACAGCUUCGAGCCACCAUUAUAACUGUUCAUUAGUGAGGCGAUGGAAAGCUCAACAGGUGUCCGACUAAGAGGGGCGGGGCUUAGCAAAGGGUCACCCAACUGCACCUGUGGCUAAAUAACUGGGGCCACAGGAGACAUAUUAAACCCAUGAUCUGUAGACUGUCCAAGCUUCCAGUGUUAAAGUCCAGGCUGCAAACGUCAAGGACAAACGUUUCCUCUUUCAUCACGACUUGACACUAAAACUGGAAAUCUGAACGUGUCACGAUGGAUCUGUGUCGUCUCAGCACAACUGAUGCGCUGCAGCAGACAGAAAGGAGAAAGAUGAAAAGGAUUUUAAAGCUCUUUAGUUCAGUAAAUGAAUCUUCUCAUGACGUGAGGACAAGAAAGGACGGCCACAGGGACACAGCGGGAGCAGGAGGAAGAAGCUUUUCUGUGCUGAUGAUGAGACGUCUCAGUCGGCGUCUGCAGGGCUUUUUAAAACCAACACAUUUCAUUUAUUGGUUAAUUCUGCUGCUGCGUUAGUAAAAUAACGUCUUUAUGAUUUUAAAGACAGUUAAUUGGCUCUAGUUUUGUCUUUAACAUCAGUUGUUUAUUCCGUAAAGACCUCACCUGAGCUUUUGAAUGUUUGAGCCCAUUUACUAAAUAUGUUUAGGCUUUAUUACAUUUUACAUUUUACUGGGUAUAUCUUUAUAUGUUUGCUGCUUUUCAUUUAAUCUAAGAAUCUUAAAUCUCUGCAAGUGAAUUUUUAAAAUUUACUGUUGGUGUCUUGUUUCCUACUAAUUUUCAACGCUGGUUUCUUUUUACCAUAAUAUUUCCCUGAACUGAAGCAUGACGGCUCUCAGGCAAUGGACUGAAAUACAUCAACAAUUAAUAUGAAUAAUAAUAAUAAAUUUUAUUUAUAAAGCAUUUCUCGUACGAGAGAUGCAGCUCAAAGUGCUUCACAAUAAAAAAAGGGCGGAUUGAAGGAUUGAAUGGACAAUAGAAAGACAGUAGAUGAAAAUAAAACCAGAAACUGUAGGUUUCCUGGUGUCAGUUAAAAAUAUUCAUGGAGCAUCUCUUGCAGCUCUUGGCAGGUUUUUCCAUUAUUGGAUGUUUCGGAUUUUACACAGACAUGAUCCCACCUGCAGAACUGAUGACAUCAGCCUCAGCUAACUACUAUCCUACAUGUUAGCAUUGUCAUUGAGUUUAACACUUUGUCCCAGAAUCUCAGUCCAAACAUCUGGACUUCACCACACCUGCAGACUGAAUACAGACUUCGAACAUGAUGUGUAACAAUGACAGUGCAAAUGAAUCGAUAAUAAUCUGCAGCAUAUUUAUUUUUGAAGACAUUUUUUUGUUGUUGACGUCUACUGCAGAGUCAUGUGACCCAGGUGUGAAUGCUGACACAAGCCUGAUGUUCAGAUUAAGACAAAGACCAAGAGCCUUUAAAAUAAAGAAGAAAAUGUGAAUCGUGACACAAAAAUCCCCAAAUGGUGAAACUCUGAAAAUCACAAAGUGUUGAUUCUUCAUGUUUCGUCACACACACACACACACACACACACACACACACACACACACACACACACACACACACGCAGACAGACAUCUGGCAUCAGUUUGUUAGCCGUCGUGUUUGCUUGCAGCCGGUGAAAAAUGGCUGUUUGUGUGCGCCGCCUCGCCGCAGUGUGUAGAUCAGUGUUGUACGUACACACUGAUCAACACACUGACUGUGGCCCCGGGAACAUUUCACUGUUUGAAACCGUUUGAUUACAGCAGCAUUUCCAGAACCACCCACGUUUAAUGCUCUUUAGUCAUGAUUGAUUCAUAACGUACACAUGUUCAUCAGCUGUACAAACAACUCUGCGCUUCAUGUGUUCAGUGUCUGUCGGGAUAAAGAUGGAGGCCGUGUGGUGAGCACAGUGUGUAAGUGCAUGUGAGAGAAUAUAUUUAGAUUCAACUGGUUAUAUUUUCCCUCUUUUCUUCUGUAACCAUCACUAAUGAAAACAUCAUGUAACAUUAUGAACCAUCAGGUGACUGACAGGAGGAGAAGUUCUGAGUCCAGCUGGACCUUUAGCAGCUCGCAGGGUUCUCCUCUCAGUAAAACACUCCAGUAUCAGCUCCAUGGUCAGCCUGGGAUAGAAAUUCAGUCUCGGACUGAUCCACUGGGUCACUGAAGGAGCCAGUUUAAACACUGAUGGAGCCGGUAAACAUGUAAAAAACUUUAUGGAUGUUUUGACGUUUUUGACUUUGUAUUAUUGUUUAAAAAAGCAAUAAAAGACGAUAAAACAUCACAUAAAAGCAAGUCUAUAAAAAUGACUUUAAGAAGUGAUUUAUAAGAAGUCACUGAUUCUGCCUUAAAAGACGAAGUGUCCUGAUGGCAGAACCACAGUCACCUUUAGAUUUAACCCUUGACCUUGGGACGGCCAGAGGGGCCGGGGACCUAAGGGUGCGAGCCGGCUCACAUGGGGUUAACAUUUCUGUUACGUAGCUCAGGACUCAACCUCUAAUAUUUAAUCUCCUGGACGUAGACGUCUUGAGUAAAUCAUCAGUUUGUCGUUCAGUCUGUUUGACAGUUUAUUGCAGUUUGUAGUUUGUACUGGUUUGAUUUCAGAGUCGGCAGCAACAGAUCUCACCUGUAAUCCGAGUGUUUGUGUGACAGUUGUCAAAGUUUCCUCAGUGUUGGUGUGUUUGACUUUGCGAACCCUCGCGGUCGUAGCUUCACCUCAGCUCUCAGCUGUGUGCAGGUUAUUUGAUCUGGAGGACGGACGGACGGACGGACGGACGGACGGACGGAUGGACGGAUGGACGGACGAGUCAGCGCUGAUUCAUGGACACAAACACCUCACAACAGUUCGACUGUCAGCUCAGUCUGAUCCUUCACUCCCAACAACAACCACCUCCUCAUAUUUUCUACUUAUACUCAGAUACAAUGUACAGCAGGGAGGAAAUCAUACGGCUCCACAAACAACAUAGAAAUAGAAAAAUCAGAUCUGCUGUUGAAUUCAUUGAUUUCAUUUUCUCUCAGAAACAAACACAUUUUGUUUUUGUUUGUUUGUGUUUCUGUCUCUGUGCGGCAGGUAAACAAGCUGCUGUAAACAACAUGUUUUAGGACGUCAUCAUCAUGUGCGUCUCUUCCUCUUCCUCCUCCUCCUCCUCCCAGCAGACAGCAGCUCUGUGGGGUUUCCUGCGUCUGGAGGCAGCAGGUGAGGAGACUCUGCUCGGUAACCCGUCGUCAUGGAAAACACACCUGCGCCGUGAUUGGUGGAGAGCUGCAGCUGGAGGGUUGACCGGGGGAGCCUUUUAUACAAUUACUAUCAUGGUGGCAGGUUGUUAAACAGGAAGUUCCAGACGUCCCUCUGUCCAGCAACGCUUCCAUGUUGGAUCCCGAGGUGUUUCCCGACCAGGUGGGACAUGUAAUCCCUCCAGCAAGUUCUGGGUGAGACAUGAAGAAGAACCAGCAGCUGCAGUUCCUCUAACGACCACUAGAGUCUGGCUCCAACAGUGAGUCAGUCCCCAUAGACUCCCAUGUUAAAAUGUCCAACUUUACAGCAGAAAUAAACAUGUUUACAGCCUGGUACAAAAACUGUUUUGGUCUCUA